UACGGAGGAUGCGAGCGUUAUCCGGAUUUAUUGGGUUUAAAGGGUGCGUAGGCGGAUCGUUAAGUCAGUGGUCAAAUUGAGGGGCUCAACCCCUUCCCGCCAUUGAAACUGGCGAUCUUGAGUGGAAGAGAAGUAUGCGGAAUGCGUGGUGUAGCGGUGUAAUGCAUAGAUAUCACGCAGAACCCCGAUUGCGAAGGCAGCAUGCCGGCUUCCUACUGACGCUGAAGCACGAAAGCGUGGGGAUCGAACAGG
rnacentral:rRNA from 1 species